AUAAUAAUAAUAAUAAUAAUUGUGUAUUAUUGUUCAAUAUUAGGUUGGUAUUGCCAUCUGCUAUAGAGAGGGAAAGGAGGAAGAGUAAUUUUGAACAUUAUAAGGACACCACACUCUCAGCCUUGUUUCUGGAGCUAAUGGUUAGAAUAUUUGAGUAAGUUACAUAGGAUGAUAAUGAUACUUGAAGAACCACUCCAGUCUGGUUUAUAUGAUGUCCUCCCUACUACUAUUGGAAGGUUUGGUUCCUGAGGAUUUGAGGCUUUUGCUCUGUGGGUGUCAGCAGGUUGAACUUGACGUACUCAAAAAGAUAACAACUUUCACUGACGAGACUUAAAGUUCGAGCUCAUUCCAAUC
rnacentral:lncRNA from 1 species